UGAACAUGCAGUUCAUAGAUACUCACCCU
rnacentral:piRNA from 2 species